GGAGUUAGCCGGUGCUUCUUCUGCGAGUAACGUCACAGAUGUAAGGUAUUAACUUACACCCUUUCCUCCUCGCUGAAAGUGCUUUACAACCCGAAGGCCUUCUUCACACACGCGGCAUGGCUGCAUCAGGGUUUCCCCCAUUGUGCAAUAUUCCCCACUGCUGCCUCCCGUAGGAGUCUGGGCCGUGUCUCAGUCCCAGUGUGGCUGAUCAUCCUCUCAGACCAGCUAGGGAUCGUCGCCUAGGUGAGCCUUUACCUCACCUACUAGCUAAUCCCACCUGGGCUUAUCCAUCAGCGCAAGGCCCGAAGGUCCCCUGCUUUCCCCCGUAGGGCGUAUGCGGUAUUAGCAGUCGUUUCCAACUGUAUCCCCACAAUGGCAAUUCCCAGGCAUUACUCACCCGUCCGCCGCUCGUCAUCUUCAAAGCAAGCUUUUGAAAUGUUACCGCUCGACUUGCAUGUGUUAGGCCUGCCGCCAGCGUUCAAUCUGAACCAGAUCAAAUUCUGA
rnacentral:rRNA from 1 species